rnacentral:rRNA from 1 species
CUGGCGGCGUGCCUAAUACAUGCAAGUCGAACGCACAGCGAAAGGUGCUUGCACCUUUCAAGUGAGUGGCGAACGGGUGAGUAACACGUGGACAACCUGCCUCAAGGCUGGGGAUAACAUUUGGAAACAGAUGCUAAUACCGAAUAAAACUUAGUGUCGCAUGACACAAAGUUAAAAGGCGCUUCGGCGUCACCUAGAGAUGGAUCCGCGGUGCAUUAGUUAGUUGGUGGGGUAAAGGCCUACCAAGACAAUGAUGCAUAGCCGAGUUGAGAGACUGAUCGGCCACAUUGGGACUGAGACACGGCCCAAACUCCUACGGGAGGCUGCAGUAGGGAAUCUUCCACAAUGGGCGAAAGCCUGAUGGAGCAACGCCGCGUGUGUGAUGAAGGCUUUCGGGUCGUAAAGCACUGUUGUAUGGGAAGAACAGCUAGAAUAGGAAAUGAUUUUAGUUUGACGGUACCAUACCAGAAAGGGACGGCUAAAUACGUGCCAGCAGCCGCGGUAAUACGUAUGUCCCGAGCGUUAUCCGGAUUUAUUGGGCGUAAAGCGAGCGCAGACGGUUUAUUAAGUCUGAUGUGAAAGCCCGGAGCUCAACUCCGGAAUGGCAUUGGAAACUGGUUAACUUGAGUGCAGUAGAGGGUAAGUGGAACUCUGGUGGUAGCCGGUG